UUGUCUCAAAGAUUAAGCCAUGCAUGUCUCAGUACAAGCCAAAUUAAGGUGAAACCGCGAAAGGCUCAUUAAAUCAGUUAUGGUUCCUUAGAUCGUACCCACAUUUACUUGGAUAACUGUGGUAAUUCUAGAGCUAAUACAUGCAAACAGAGUUCCGACCGGAGACGGGAGGAAUGCUUUUAUUAGAUCAAAACCAAUCGGCGGCGGGCGCGCUCGCGCGCCCGUUCGCCGCUCAACUUGGUGACUCUGAAUAACUUUCGGCUGAUCGCACGGUCUCGCACCGGCGACGCAUCUUUCAAAUGUCUGCCUUAUCAACUGUCGAUGGUAGGUUCUGCGCCUACCAUGGUCGUAACGGGUAACGGGGAAUCAGGGUUCGAUUCCGGAGAGGGAGCCUGAGAAACGGCUACCACAUCCAAGGAAGGCAGCAGGCGCGCAAAUUACCCACUCCCGGCACGGGGAGGUAGUGACGAAAAAUAACGAUACGGGACUCAUCCGAGGCCCCGUAAUCGGAAUGAGUACACUUUAAAUCCUUUAACGAGGACCCAUUGGAGGGCAAGUCUGGUGCCAGCAGCCGCGGUAAUUCCAGCUCCAAUAGCGCA
rnacentral:rRNA from 1 species